ACAACAGGUCAGGAAAUAUUCAAAUUAUUGGAUGAUUUCAUGAAAGCUGAAUCGCUGAAUUGGGAGAACUGUGUUGCUGUUUGUAUGGACAGUGCUGACACUAUGACAGGCAAUAGGAGUGGUGUUGUAGCAAGAAUAUGAGUCAUAAACCCACAGGUAAUUGGAACAUAGUGGAUGUUGC